UCCGAGUUGACCCCGGCAGUCUCCUAUGAGUUCCCUCCAUUACGUGCUGGCAACAUAGAACGAGGGUUGCGCUCGUUGCGGGACUUAACCCAACAUCUCACGACACGAGCUGACGACAACCAUGCACCACCUGUAUACCGACCUUGCGGGGCGACUAUUUCUAGCCGUUUCCGGUAUAUGUCAAGCCCAGGUAAGGUUCUGCGCGUCGCGUCGAAUUAAACCACAUGCUCCACCGCUUGUGCGGGCCCCCGUCAAUUCCUUUGAGUUUUAGCCUUGCGGCCGUACUCCCCAGGCGGAGUGCUUAUCGCGUUAGCUACGGCACCACGAGGGUCAAAGCCCGUGACACCUAGCACUCAUCGUUUACGGCGUGGACUAC
rnacentral:misc_RNA from 1 species